UUUUCUAGUGGCGGACGGGUGAGUAACGCGUGGGUAACCUGCCUCAUACAGGGGGAUAACAGUUAGAAAUGACUGCUAAUACCGCAUAAGACCACGGUACCGCAUGGUACAGUGGUAAAAACUCCGGUGGUAUGAGAUGGACCCGCGUCUGAUUAGGUAGUUGGUGGGGUAACGGCCUACCAAGCCGACGAUCAGUAGCCGACCUGAGAGGGUGACCGGCCACAUUGGGACUGAGACACGGCCCAG
rnacentral:rRNA from 1 species